AUUGAACGCUGGCGGCAUGCCUAACACAUGCAAGUCGAGCGGAUGAAGGGGGCUUGCUCCUGGCUUCAGCGGCGGACGGGUGGGUAAUUCCUAGGAAUCUGCCUUGUAUAUAGGGAUGACGUCAGUAAACGGGCGCGAAUACAGCAUACGUCGUUAGUGUGAACGGGGUGGAUCUUCAGAGCUAGCGCGAUCUGAUGAGCCUAGGUCGUAUUAGCUAGUUGGUGGGGUAACGGCGUACCAAGGCGACGAUCCGUAACUGGGCUGAGAGGGUGAUCAGUCACACUGGAACUGAGACACGGUCCAGACUCCUACGGGAGGCAGCAGUGGGGAAUAUUGGACAAUGGGCGAAAGCCUGAUCCAGCCAUGCCGCGUGUGUGAAGAAGGUCUUCGGAUCGUAAAGCACUUUUAGUUGGGAAGAAGGGAAGUAAGUUAAUACCUUGCUGUCUUGACGGUACCAACAGAAUAAGCACCGGCUAACUUCGUG
rnacentral:rRNA from 1 species